ensembl:lncRNA
AUGGCCACGUCACCCGAGGAUCAUCAGACGUGUAAACGGUGGUCAUACACACGGAAUUCUUUCCCAUAAUCCUUUGACAUUCUAGUUUGCAUUCCAAAAGUUCCUGCAGCUGAUUGGAUAAGCCACCUUUAUAAGGCAGGCACUGGAUGGUCUGGAAGUAUACUGUGUGUGUGUAAGUCACAGAGGGUACAACUAUACUGUAGUUCUCUGUUUUCACAUGUUCACUGUAAUAGUCUUGUAUUGAAGGAAAGUUCAAGGAUUUUUUUCCAAAACAGAACUAAAAUGUCAGGAUUGACAACCAUCACAACUGCUGAUGUCAGUAAAGAAGGAAAUAAAAGAAGAUGAAGAGUUUGAUGAUUUCCUGCAAGAGUAUCUGUUUGCAAAUCAGACAGUGGAAGAAAAGCCUGGACUGGAACAUGACUGUAAGACUGAAACAGAAAGUUCACCAACCUUGGCCUGCAAAGAAGAAAAGUUCUCACUGAUGGGAUUUAAAGAGGAAGAUGAAUCUGAUUUAAGUGAAUAUGGUCGUGAUGACUCUUCUCCUACAAGAGAUGUUCAAAGGAUCCAUUCUAACAGAGGAAGUAACAGUGAGGAGAAAAGAAACAAAGAGAGACGUCACAAUCACUCCCAGUGCAGGACGACUUCACACCAGAAUCAAAAUCAACAUUUGGACACAAGGAAGAAACAACAUGAAUGCUCCCAGUGAUUCAAAUUCUUUCCUGGACAUUCCGCUCUUGCAAUUCAUCAACGAAUACACACAGGAGAAAAGCCACAUCAGUGUUCUUCGUGUGGAAAGACUUUUACUCAAAUAGGUCAUCUCAAGAGACAUCAGAAGAUCCAUAUUGGGGAAAAGCCAUAUCAGUGUUCUCAGUGUGGAAAGACCUUUGGUCAGAUGUGUGAUCUCAAGACACAUCAGAGGAUUCAAGCUGGGGAAAAGCCACAUCAGUGUUCUCAGUGUGGAAAGG